rnacentral:rRNA from 1 species
AGCGAACGCUGGCGGCAGGCCUAACACAUGCAAGUCGAACGGAUCCUUCGGGAUUAGUGGCGGACGGGUGAGUAACACGUGGGAACGUGCCCUUUGGUUCGGAACAACUCAGGGAAACUUGAGCUAAUACCGGAUGUGCCCUUCGGGGGAAAGAUUUAUCGCCAUUGGAGCGGCCCGCGUCUGAUUAGCUAGGUGGUGAGGUAAAGGCUCACCAAGGCGACGAUCAGUAGCUGGUCUGAGAGGAUGAUCAGCCACAUUGGGACUGAGACACGGCCCAAACUCCUACGGGAGGCAGCAGUGAGGAAUCUUGCGCAAUGGGCGAAAGCCUGACGCAGCCAUGCCGCGUGAAUGAUGAAGGUCUUAGGAUUGUAAAAUUCUUUCACCGGGGACGAUAAUGACGGUACCCGGAGAAGAAGCCCCGGCUAACUUCGUGCCAGCCGCCGCUGUAA